UUCUGCGCAUGCUUUCUAAUGCGGAAGCCGGGAUUCUGCCAUUAUCUCGAAGACUAGUCAUCCCCCAAAACAAAAAUACAACGCAUGCAUAAACUUUUAGGAUAAAACGUCGUUAGUUUCAUAAAUUCGUGAACUAUGUCUGAGAUUGAUAGCAACCCAUUUGCUGAUCCAGAAGCAGCAAACCCAUUUGCGGAUCCUUCUGUUCAGCAAGCAAGGGGUGGUCAGCCAACAGGUGCCGGGGCGGUUGAUGAUUACAAUCCAUUUGCUGAGGGAAAUCAGACAAGGCCCACGGCAGGGCAAACAGUACCACCCCCACAACCUGCUCAGACCCAGCCAGCAAUAAUGCAGCCCUCAAAUGACCCUCCUCCCUAUACUGAGAGUUCAGCCCAAAAAGUGGAUACAGCUGACUUGCAGAAGAGACAAGAGGAAUUGGAAAGAAAAGCUGCAGAACUACAAAGGAAAGAACAGGAAAUGAGAAACAUGCAGUUUAAUGAUCGAGCAAACAAUUGGCCACCUCUUCCAAAAUUCUGUCCAGUUGGACCUUGUUUCUACCAAGACUUCAAUGUUGAUAUUCCAAUGGAAUUCCAAAGAACUGUCAAAUUUGUGUACUAUUUAUGGUUAUUUUAUACAUUUGUUCUCUUUCUCAACAUCUGGGCCAGUAUGGCAUAUUUCAUUGCUGAUUCGAAUGGGGGAGCCACCUUUGGCAUGUCAAUAGUGUGGUUUGUCCUGUUCACCCCUUGUUCAUUUAUAUGUUGGUACAGACCUCUGUACAAGGCAUUCAGAAGUGACAGUUCCUUCAACUUCUUUGUCUUUUUCUUUAUUUUCUUUUUCCAAUUUAUCUGUACCAUUAUUCAAAGUCUAGGAAUAACAGGUCACACAGUUGGCAUCAUCAAUGGACUGUUCGUGUCUGGACACAAAAAUGAUGGGGAGGGGCCCAGCCACUUAGGUGCUGGACUGGCCAUGAUUUUUGUGGGACUGUUAUUCGGCUUUCUGGCCAUUUUAGAUUUUGUUAUGCUUGUCAAGGUAUAGCAACCCAGGUUUUGUUUAAAAAAUUUGGCUACAUGCUCAUUUGAACAAAAUCGAUGUUCAGCUUGCUGUUUUGUCAUGUCAAAUAUUGCAAGUGGACUUAGCUAUAUAUAUCAACUAUGCUCUGAACAAUAACUUCUGCAGCAUGCAUUAUUCUUCACUUAAUUUUGAUAGGGAAAUUUUUUUUUUGCAUGUGGAGUAUAUGAAUAUAUGGUCAGUAAUAUGUUAAAUCGACUCCAUAAUCUAUUGAUUAAGCAUUAUCGUAAUUUUCAUUGUGGGCAAAUCCACUUUUGGGAAGUUAAUCUGCCAGUCGUGUCUGUCAAAUCUUUAUACUUUUGGUGUCACCUGAUUCGCAUGACUGCCGUUCAGCCUAUCAAAUUGUCUGGUGUUGUUAUUUAACAUCUGAAUAAUUUUAGCUUCUUCUCAGUUUCUAGAACUGAAAAAAAUCUUUAGUGCACUUAAUGGUCAUUGUCCUUUGGAACUUUUGAUAGGGAUGGUCCAAAACUUUCUAAAAGAAGUCUUCACAACCAAACAUCUAGCAUUCAAGCAGUGUGCAUAUUUAUAAUUAGGAUGGAGGCCUCUACCAAACUAUGAAAUUCAUAACCCCCUAGGACAGCCAAGGCUGGGCAAUAUGAAAUUUAUAUCAAAUGCUCAAAUAUCUUCUUCAGUUAAUGCAAGAAAGGGUUUAUAAGAUGUUUUCAUUUGACAUGACUUAUGAAGGGUCUUGAAGAGCUUGACUGGAAAAUUUUCACCCCUGGGGGAGGGAUGUCAAGUGCAGAAAAUCAAAACAUUUUAGAAAGUUAGUCAUGUAACAAUAUCACUUAACUGGUGUCUAAUAGGAGUUGUCUAAUAAGAGUAACGCAUGAAAAUGGUCACACCAGAAAUAGAAAAGGGUGGGUCUAAUAGCCCUGGUGGGAUAGGAUUUGGCUGGGUCACCAAGUGCAAGAUUUUAAUUGGUAAUGAAAGGCUGAUAUAAUACAUGUAUGAGUGAUAUUUUGUCUAUAAUCUCAGCUGAUCACAAAAAUGAUGAUCCUAGUUCCAAGACAAAAUACCCACUGGCAUGGGAAUUUUAUGAGGUGGGACUUGGUUACAGUCCAUGAAGGUCUGUGGGCUCCUGUCUAUCAUGAGAGUUUGGCCCUAAAUACAUUUGACAUGUUUUUUACUAUUUCCAUGCUACUUGCUUGUACAAUCAGAAAAAGUGUAGCACCGAUAUGCCUAGUCAUGUUAAUAACCAGAAUUGAAUUUAAUGGUGACUUAAAAUAAAGGGGAAAAGAGGAGGAUUGACAAUCCAGAAUAGAUUAAAGGAAUGGAAACACAGCAUUGGCUAAUAAGAUAUUGUUUUGCUUAAACUCAUGGGUAUUUAAUUUUCUCUUAAAAGAAAUAUUCAUAAUGCAUAUUAGUUUUCACAAAAGUUACAGGCUCAUUGUCUUUUCAUAGGUCCCCUUUCAACCAAGUAUUUGUAAAUGUAUAUUGAUUAUGAUAGGGAAUUUCAAUGUGAAAUUAAUAUUAUGAAGCAGUCUAUGGCUUAAAUAUCCUUCCAUAUAACAAGGUGCUUAAAUGACCGGAUCCCAAAAAAUGUGGAUUUUAUUCUGUUUGGUGUUUUAAAAAUAAGUAAGUUCUGUAAAAUCACUUCAUCUUUUGUGGAUAGUCCCUCAUACCACAGAACCCAAACUGUAGGCCACUACAAAGAUGAGUGAUUUUACUGUUGUGCAUAUUCAUCAGGUACUGCAUGCCUGUAAAUGUCUGUGUUAGUAGUGAAUGGAGGGUUAGAAUGAGUGGUUUAGGCUUCCUCCCCCUGUGUUUCACAUCCAUUGGUUGCUGCCAUUGAAUGUCAUCAGGUUGCCAGCCAAUCAGAUGAAGUCAUCUGAUGUGAUAACUAAUGAACAACCAGAUUUAUUCACUUAAACAUUGCAAAAUGUGAUGAUUUUUUAGCAAUCAGAUGAGGUCAUCUGAGGAAAUAUUGAGCUUGACUGUUUGUACAUGUGUUGAUUGCUUAUUUGUAGAGGAUGGAUUAACUCUCUGUCAACUAUCGGUAAAAGUACCGGAGCUGGGGCUUUCAUGCUCUUCAUCUCCCUGUUCUUUUCAGUGUGUGCUGUUUUAAUGAUAGUCAUGUUACUUAAGGUACACAAAAUCUAUAGGAGCACAGGAGCCAGUUUUGAUAAAGCCAAACAGGAAUUUUCCACUGGAGUAA